rnacentral:rRNA from 1 species
UAUNGCACAAUGGGGGAAACCCUGAUGCAGCNACGCCGCGUGAGUGAAGAAGUAUUUCGGUAUGUAAAGCUCUAUCAGCAGGGAAGAAAAUGACGGUACCUGAUUAAGAAGCCCCGGCUAACUACGUGCCAGUAGCAGCGGUAAUACGUAGGGGGCAAGCGUUAUCCGGAUUUACUGGGUGUAAAGGGAGCGUGGACGGCAGCACAAGUCUGGAGUUAAAUGCCGGGGCUUAACCCCGGAACUGCUUUGGAAACUGUGCAGCUAGAGUGCAGGAGAGGUAAGUGGAAUUCCUAGUGUAGCGGUGAAAUGCGUAGAUAUUAGGAGGAACACCAGUGGCGAAGGCGGCUUACUGGACUGUAACUGACGUUGAGGCUCGAGAGCGUGGGGAGCAAACAGG